AGUGUGGUCUAUUGUGGUCUGUAUGCAGUUUUCUACUCUCCUCUAGACCUCUUGCGAGGCCUGCCCUACGACGGACUUAAAAUCCGCUGGGGUAACGCCCAUGAGGGUUCGAAUCCCUCCCGCCCUA
rnacentral:tRNA from 1 species